rnacentral:rRNA from 1 species
ACACGAAUGAAAGACAAGCUGAAAGACUUUUCUCAAUGAUGUAAGUGGUGGUGCAUGGUCGUUCUUAGUUCGUGGAGUGGUUUGUCUGGUCUAUUCCGAUAACGAGCGAGACCCCGGCGUUCCUAAUAGGGGCAGCAGCCCGGCUUGCCUGCUCUCACGAGCGGGCUCGCUAGCAGCUGCCUCAAAAACAUUGCUUCUUAGACGUAUCAGAGCCGAUAAGGUUCUUGAAAUGGGUUAAUAACAGGUCAGUCAUGCCCUUAGAUGUUCUGGGCCGCACGCGCGUUACAAUGGCAUGCCUUAGAGAGUGCUCAAAAAGGGCGUAUCCAUGGCCUAACGGCCAUGGUAACCCCUAGUCCCUGCCUUGACUGGGACAGACUAUUGCAAUUAUUGGUCUCGAACGAGGAAUUUUUAGUAGUCGCAGGUCAUUAACCUGCGACGA